rnacentral:misc_RNA from 1 species
GAUGAAGAACGUAGCGAAAUGCGAUAAGUAAUGUGAAUUGCAGAAUUCAGUGAAUCAUCGAAUCUUUGAACGCACAUUGCGCCCGCUGGUAUUCCGGCGGGCAUGCCUGUUCGAGCGUCAUUUCAACCCUCAAGCCCCCGGGUUUGGUGUUGGGGAUCGGCUCUGCCCUUCUGGGCGGUGCCGCCCCCGAAAUACAUUGGCGGUCUCGCUGCAGCCUCCAUUGCGUAGUAGCUAACACCUCGCAACUGGAACGCGGCGCGGCCAUGCCGUAAAACCCCAACUUCUGAAUGUUGACCUCGGAUCAGGUAGGAAUACCCGCUGAACUUAAGCAUAUCAUAAGCGGAGGA